UAGCAUAGGGUUCUUAAUUUUUUGUUGAUUUUAUAGUAUUCCAAGCCACCCAACUUGCUACCAACCUGCCUCCUAAAAUUGUACCUGCAUCAUACCCAUGCUGUCUUUCUUUCCUUAAGUCUCAUGGAGGAAAUAGAAGUGCCCCUCCUCAUGUCUUAGACCAGUCCCCUCCCUCGAGACUCAUCAGUCCCUCUUGCUGCCUCAGGGAUCCUGUUCCACUGUCUGUCUCCCAUCCUGCCUGGGAAUGCAGAUUUUCUCUGAGCCGGCUCUGCAGCAUUGGACAACAUGCAUCGAGAACCCUUUCCCCUGGGGCUUCUGUGACUGCAUCAGUCAGGAUAGGCCAGAUUACGCAGCAGUAACCCAGUGAUUAUCCCCAAGUCUCAGUACUCACAGAGGCAGAGAUUUAUGUCUCACUCGUGCUCCAUGUUCAUUGUAGGUUGGCCACAGGUCUGCUCUCUGUCCUCCUCAUUCUGGGACCUGGGCUGAUGAAGACAACUCUGUGGCAUGUGUUCCCUCUUCUGGCAGAGGGAAAAAAAAGAGAUCACAGAGAAGCACAUACUGGCUCUUAAAGCUUCCACCAGGAAAUGACACAGGUCCCUUGUGCUCACGUUCCAUUACCCAAAGCAUGCGACAUGGCCCAGCCUGAUAUCAAUGAGGUGUGAUGCGGGCUCCUUCCCAGGGAGGGCAGGGUGACAAUCCACUCCACUACAAAACUGCCUUCUCUCUGCUGUCCCCCUUCCCUGUCAUGUUGGUGGUGCUUAAUCCCCUAAAUUCAGAUUUGCAUAUUAGAUACAGCCCACGUGUUCAUGUUGCUUGACCUGUUUAGGGUUUUCUAAUUGCUUUCUACUCUUUAAAAGCGGGAUGAUUUCACCCUUGGGUUCACCAGUAUCACUUUUCUUGAAGAAUCCAAAGAUGGGCACGCCUGGGCGACAUGCACCUUUGGUAGCCUCUGCUGGAGCUGGGCUGUGGCCGCCCCAUUUAGAUGGACGUGUGUGCUACAGUUGGACACGUUCUCCUUUUGUGUUCACAGUUCAUGUUGCUGCCAGCCUGGGUGGUAUCCCUGUUUGUUAGGCUUUCCUUAAAUGCUAAUGACCCCACGGUUUCCUCCUUGGUCUCCAGUCUACUCACUCUGCAUAUUCUCCUGGAGGAAACUGCUUUUUCCUCGUGGCUUCAGUUUCAGUGCUGAUCCUCUCUGAACCCCAUCCUCUCUGUCCACCCCACUAAUGGGUCACUGUAGGUCUUUAUCAUCUUUCAAGUGGAUAAUUUUGUCAGCCUCCCACCUGCUUGCCCAGUCCCUAGUCUGGCAGAAGCCCUGAUCUAUCCCCAGUUAAUGCCAUGAUCUAUUAUAAAGCCCACAUCUGGUUGUGUAAGCACUCCCACCCAUCCCCAGAAUGUACUUCUUUGACACACCAUUGCUAUAGGAGUGAGCCCAGUCUCCUUUAGGUGGCUCUCUCCUGGCCCUACCAUCCUCUCCCGUCUCCCUUCUUGCUUCUACUCUUGUGCUUUAUGGUUUGGUCAAAUGGAAUUACUUAUAUAAGCUGCACUGUCUUUCUAGGUCUCUGUGUGUGCCACUUUUGGUUCAGUGUGGCAGCGUCUCCUCCUCCUGGAAGCCUUCCUUGACUGCUCCCCAUCCUCCCCCACGCUGGGCGAGGUAUCCUAUUUGAUGCUUCAGAAUCAUUUUGUAUCUCCUCUAACAUAGUCCUUGGUAUCCUUAAUUGUAAUCACAUUUUAAUUUCUCCACUUCUCCAAUUAAAUGGUUUUAGGGGCUGAAUUGUGUCCCACUAUCCUCCUCCCCGCCAAAUUCAUCUAUCUGUUCAAGGCCCAACCAAACCCCAGUACUUCAGAAUGUAACCAUAUUUGGAGAUAAGCUCUUCAAAGCAGUGAUUGAAUAAAAGUGAAGCAGUUAGGGUGGGGCCCUAAUCCAAAUUGACUUGUGCCCUUGUUUUUUGUUUUUUGUGUUUUUUAAGUUUCCUUAUUGACUUUGAGCGAGAGAGAGAAAGAAAGCAGGGAAGAGGGGCAGAGAGGUGAAGAGAGAGGGAAUCCCAAGCAGGUUCUACACUGUCAGCACAGAGCCGGAUGUGGGGCUCGAACUCUAGAACCACGGUCUAGACGAUCACGACCUGAGCCGAAAUCAGGAGUCAGAUAGAUGCUUAACCAACUGAGCCACCCAGGUGCUCCCAGUUUGACUCGUGUCCUUGUGAAAAGAGGAGGAGACACAGGGAGGAGUGCCCACAGAGGAAAGGCCAAGUGGGGACACAGGGAGAAGAGUGCUAUCUGCCAGCCAGGGAGAGAGGCUUCUGAAGAAGUCAAACUUGCUGACACCUUGAUCUUGGACUUCCAGCCUGCAGAACGAUGAGAAAAUAAAUUUCUGCUGUUUAAGCCUCCCACUCUGUGGUAUUUUGUUAUGGCAGCCGUCGUGGACUGAUACAGAUGGUAGGCGAUUUGAGGACCAGUUCAAGUCUCUUUCUCUUGGUGUUCUUAUCAUAUGCUGCAACGCCUGUCCUACGGUAAAGGCAAAGUGAAUAUUUAUGGAGUCAGUCUAUUGAUAAAUUGAUAAACAGAAAGACAAAUUUGAUACUGAUCAAUGCAGUCCAUUUUGAGAGUUAUUUUGAUAUGAUAAAUUUGUAAAUUUUUAAAAACAUUUUUAUUUAUUAUUGAGAGACAGAGACACAGCAUGAGUGGGGGAGGGGCAGAGACAGAGGGAAACACAGAAUCUGAAUCAGGCUCCAGGCUCUGAGCUGUCAGCACAGAGCCCAACGCGGAGCUCAAACCUACCAACUGUGAGAUCAUGACCUGAGCUGAAGUCGGUCAGUUAACUGAGCCACCCAGGCGCCCCUUGAUAUGAUAAAUUUGAACUUAAGGAACUUGUAGCAAGUUCCUUAUCAGGAAAGGACUUGCAAAUCACAGAUGGCACAGGAAAAGUGCAUUGGUUAGUGAAUAAGAGGGUCGUAUCCUAACAGUGUUUUGUUUUGUAUUUAUAGUAGCUUUUCUCUACCAAAAAGGCUCUGGCCCCCCUGGGAGCGGUAGUGAGAGGCAUCAGUAUGUGGGAACUUCUCGGGAAGCCCCGGUGUGAGGGGACGUGAGGGAGCCUCUGGCUGGCACCAAGGGUUCUGCUGGCUGGCAGGGGGCCAAGUCCUGCCACCCAUCCUCUGGGAAGAUCCUCUCAGAACUCUGCUGGGAUGAGUCAGCCACCCUUGCUCCGGAAUGACAAUCGCACCUGGAAUGCGCCUUGUGGAAUGGCAGUGGAGGGAAAGACCUGGCAGAUUGGAGGUGAAAAGAAAGAUGACUGUCAGUAAUUUAUAUGACAACAAGCAUCUGGGCAAGAAGUUUCUGCAGGGUCAAUCAACAUCUAGAUGAUUUUGAUCCACAAACACAACAAUAUCUAGAAGCAUCUGGGUGGUAAGUGGAAAGGCUUGUGUUUUUUUCUACACGUGUAGCACCUUUGGGCAACCCCAGCCAGGAACAGCUUGGUCAGGAGGAAGGAGAUGAACUGUCGCCACAUUCCCCACAGGUUGCCCUGGUUUGGAAGAGGCUAGAUUUGGCCAGAGUUGUGGUUUACCAGACACGUGCACACAUCAAUACACACGAAUGCCGUCUGAGGCUGCUUGUGUGGAUCCAGAGAGACUGCAAGCUAGGAGUUGCAGAGAGAAGGCUCCCCCUGGGACUGAAGAAUGUCAGGCAACAGACUCCUAGAUCCAUAGCAUUCAGUGCAUUGAGCCAUCCCACCCCAUGCACGGUGGGUGACCAGUAUUGGUCACAGGCAACAGUGGCACCAAGAGCACACAGUAGGACAGCACGCUCAGAGAAAGAAUGAGAAUGGGAUCAGGCCAGUGGUAAGCAUCUUGGUAGUCAAGGUGGUUGACAUGAAUGGGAGUCAGAAGACGGGCUUAAGUUUCAGUUCUUGGGAGCUAAUAUCACCUGCCCUGAACAAAGAGGUCCCAUAAGGAAGCAGGGCUCACAGAUCACAACCCCAUCUCACCAUGAAUUCCUGGAGUUAUGGGGUCACCAUCUGGUUCUGAGACCAGAUUAAAUGAUGCUAUAAUUCCCAUUCAUUCAUUCAUUCAUUCAUUCAUCCUUCAUUCACUCGACCCUAUUUAUUGAAUGCCUACAAGGCAUGGAUCAAGAACUACCCUAGUUAGUGGGGAUUAAAUAGUAAACUAGUGUAUGGAGGAUAUAGGGGAAAUAGGUCCUUGCAGUAAAUGGAAUAGGUGCUCUGAUGGGGUGGGGGUGUGCUGAGACCUCACCCAGGCCUGACGCCUCCCUACUGCCCGGAGGAAGUGAUAUCCACAUGAAGAUCUGGAGGGUGAGUGGAACUGAGCCAAAGAAAAGGAGGGCUAAGGAGUUUCCCGGAAGAGGGGGCCCGGCCGUGUGGCGGCUCAGAAGAGGAAGAGUCAAUAGUUCAGAGGGCUGGACUAUUUAGUGGGAGAAAUGAGGCAGAUGAACUCCACACGGCCGGGUCCUGCAGAGAAUCUGUUCCUCCUGGUGGUGAGGGUGUGGACCACUGGCAGGCUGAGUAUGUGGUCUCAAGCUCACAAGAUAGAACAGAGCAGGAGGUAAAGAUUGGGGAAUCUCUUGUGUAUAGAUAUCACAGUCCUGAGAAUUCGUGAAAUCCCUCCCAGAGAGUGUCCAGAGUGAGAAGACAGAGCCCAGGACACUCCUGGAAAUCCUCAACCUUUAAGGGAUGGGCAGAGUUGCAGGGGCACCUGAGCCCAACUGGGAUGGGUAGCCAGAGAGCUGGGAGGAGAACCAGGAGAGGCAGCAGUAAGGUAGGUUCCCAAAGGAAGAGCAGGUUUGAAGGUUGAGGUCAUGGUUAACAGUGUAAAAGAGGCUAAGAAAUCAAGCAAAAUAAUUAAAAAAAAAAAAAAAAAGCCUAAUAAACAACAUGGGGAUGGUUGGGAAUCAUGGUGAAGUCAGAAGCUUCUAGAUAAUCCCGGUGUAGGGAGGGAGUAGAGAGGAGGAGAAGAGAAAACAGCGUUGUGAACUUUCUAAAGAGUUCUGGCCAUGGUGGCAGGAAAGAGCUCCUCCUGGAACCAGAGGACUUUGGUGUGGAGGCACAUUGAAGAUGAAAGAGAGAAGAGCGAAUAUUACUGAGUGCCUUGGGGAGCUGAGACCUCUCAGCAGGGAUGGGAGUGGAUUCCAGGGUUUAAGGAGUGGAAGGUGCCCCCCACCUUACGGCAAGCCCAGAACGUGUUUCGAUGCUGUGUGGGCAUUAGGGAGAGAAACCAUGUGAUGGUCAGACUGUGUGAAGGUAGCCCUGCCCCGUCCUUCUCCCGGCUGUGUGACCUUCAGCAAGUCAUUUAAACCCCCUCAGCCUUAAUGUCUUCAUCUGCCACAAUGGGACUUCCCUCGUAAGGCUAUUGGAAAUACCGAGUUCCGUAAGGUACAUAAAAUAAAGUGCCUGGUAAGUACUUUCUGAGCGUUACUGCCUCGGAAGGAUGGCUGCUUGCCAGCGGCCUGUCCAUCGAGGGCGGGGGGCGGGCGCGUCCCCCAGUGUCCUCCUCUGUCCUGAAUGGGGUGCGGGCUCCUCCUCUCUGCUCUGCUUGCUCUCUCCCUGCCCCGGAAGCCACACAGCCCUUGUUGAUCUCUGUGAUCUCGACUGUACUUACUCUGUGGGGCCUCUGACAGGAAUAGAGGCUGGGGACACACCUACUGGCACUCUGCAUCAAAGGGUAGGUGACACCUCAGGGGGAAACCACAGCUUCGGAGCUCUUUGCUGGAAAGCCCAACCGCCUGUUUUUCUGUAGGCCGGGAUUGCUGUGAGAGGGAAUGCGGAUUGCCCCCCUGGAACACGGCAAGGUACUUCCGAAAUGGUCUUUUUGUUUUUGAGCAUCACCGCAAUGCGAUGUAUAAGACUCUGAUCGCCAUCAAAAUAAGAAGAUUGAGAAUAUGAGGCAAACGACAAUGGUCCCUCCUCUGGGGGUUCGCUUUCUGCGGUUUUGGGUACCUGCAGCCAAGCCCAGUCGGGAAGCAGGUGAUCGAUCCUACUCCUGACAAGUUGGCGGAUGAUCCAUAGCGCCUAACGCCACGUCUCAGCGCCUUCCGUUGUCCACCUGCCUCCGUCUCAUUGUCUCAUCGCGUAGGCAUUUAAUCAUCUCACAUCACUGCAAGAAGGGCCUGCCCCAUGAGAACACUGGAACAUCUGGUUGAUGUCUGCACCUGGAAAGGGCUGAAGCAACCGACUGGCAAAAUUCCUGCACACAUGACUCUCAGCAUGGAUAUAGAUGAGAAAACUAAAGCUCAGAGAGGUCAAGCAACUUUCCCAGGACCCCUCAGCUAGUUAGUGCAAGAACCGAAUAUAAAUCCAUGUCUACCCACAUAACUCCAGCGCCUUCCCCCUAAAUCAACCUUUUUUUCUGGAUUGCUUUUUUUUUUUUUUUCUUUUUUCUUUUCUUUUUGUUCAUUGUGGAGACCUGAAGAAGAAUCUGGUGGUCCGGUGGUCCUCGGUCCUGAAAAGGGCCUACCAGAAUUCAGAGGAUCUUGUGUCUCUUGCAUUCAAAGCCAUGGCUCCUGGCAGCUGGGACCUGGGCCUCACCACGUGCACCACGCGUCGCUGGCUUCCAGGUGCCAGGGGCUUGGGCCGAGGCCACACAGUUGUCUGCACGGGGCCCGGCCCCACCGCUGGCUGUCUGGAGUGAGCGCCCGGGAUGGAUCCUCUCCGUCUGCCAGGCUGUUUUCCUCAUCCAUCUGCCUUGUUGGCUUUAAUGCAAGCAGGAAACAAAACUGAAAAAAGAGGAAAUCGAUGCUUCACAGAAAAGGGACAACAUCUUCCUUUAGCCAGUGGGGGUCUGAGGAGGGGAGUGGUGACUAAGGUUUGCGGGGCGCUGUUACCUGCUGGCGAGGGGCUGCAGAAGCCAGCUGCGGAUCAGGCUGUGCCACCGGUGCCUGCGAGUGGCUGAUGCGGAGGCCUCUUGGCGGCUGGGGGAGGCGGCACGAGCUGUCAGCUUCGAGCAGGAAGCCAACCCAGCCCGCGGCACCCGGAGGGCGAACAGUUGAAUGAAACACACACUUGGUGAGGAUGUUCGGCUUACAGAUGUCACUAAGCUGAAGCCGUGAUCGCUAGGAGCCAAUAAAUCGCGGCUUGCGGCAUUGGACCCCACCGACCUGACGCUCUCUUUCCUCACCUGCGGCCGAGAAGGGAUACGGGAUAAGCCGCUUCUUGGCCGCAAGUCCUGGGAAUACUAUUUUGUAUUUGGAAACUGCCAGAGAAUCACUGAUGAGCCAGUCCAUUGCGCCGAGUACGUUGGUCGUGGUGGGCUCCCUUCGGUGACUGAGGCGGAAGCCAGGGAGAGCACAAGUGCUGGCUGGCCAAGAGAAGCUACUUGCAGACGGCCACGGCCAGCACUCAGAAGUGGAGAACAUUGUUUUGGAGUCAAAGAGACGGGCCCCAGAGGCAGGCAGGAAGAGUAGCCGACUUAACAACAUUGCCAGCUUCCACAAACCAGCUGAUGACCCAUGUGAGCCCAGAAUGGAAAAGACUGUCACAUGUUGGGUGCCUGGCCUGGACCUCACAUCAGGUGGUAUCCAUCCCAGAUUCGUCUCCCGAGGCCCUUCCAAUGCGCUUACCUACCUGGAGCCUCUCGCUGGGACAGGCACAAAGAACGGGACUUAAGAAUUCCAUUUCUAAGAAUAAUUUUGUGUAAGGAAAACCUCCCAGUGAAAAUGGUCUGAUGAAAUGUGCUUAGUUUGGCUUUGGCCGAGCUCCUCGUCGUCCUAAACGAGUGCACAGAAACACGCACAAACAAUAUUUGCUACUGCCUAAAAAGUGUAACCCUGCAUUUACGGCAAAAGCAACGGAGGAGAUUGAGAAGUGGAGACUGGCCCCUAAGAAGAGCUCCGCUUACAUAAAAGAGGAGGUGUGGACUGCUGCCACCAAGCGGUGAGCCACGCAAGCCUGAUGGCUGCCAAGAGCCCUCACUUAUCCGGAACCCAGCCUGGUCCCUGGGGAAGGUGGACAGGAAGAGGAGGAAAGUGAAGAAGACGCCAGUGCCGCCAAAGUAACCGUUAGGAAAAGACGCGUCCUAAAGCCGAAUGUGCUUUUUAUUCGGAGAACGCCGUAUCGGGACCUCAUUCGUGCUGUUUUAAGGCCCGAUUCCAACAAGCUUAGUUUUCAAACCCUAUAGCACGUUGGAAUCAAGGAAUUAGCACGCGAAGAAAGCCAGUGAACACACUACGUAUUUAUUUUAGUCUUAACAAACACCAAUAGCAACCAACGCGACACUGGUUACGGACUCAAUUUUAAGGAUGAUGAAACAGGUUCAGAGAAGGUCAGCCAGUAAGUGAUCAAGUCUGUCUUCACAUGCAGGGUUCUGGCCUCAGAGCUCAUGUCUCUUCCUUUUCUCCCCCUCGCCUUUCCAGAGACAGGCACGCUGAGAAGCAAGCCUCAAUGGCAGGACAAUGGCAGGACAAUGGCGGGGGACAGCAUGGAAUCAGUAUUGAAAAUUUGCCGCACCCUGGGAUGAUCCAGUAUAGAGGAAAAUGGCCUCCUCGGUUCCCAAAUGCGUCUAUUUUAGAGGAUAGUCGUCAUUGAUUUGCAUCAAUAUGUCCAAAUGCGUCAACUUUCUCGGUGUAAAGCGUAGGGAGAAAGAAUCCUGGGGGGGAUACAGGUUCAGGGGAUCCAGGCGUAGCUUUGCCUUUCACUGGCUGUGGGAACUUAGCCAUGUUACAUCACCUCAUCGCGCCUCUGUUUCCUCAUCUGAAAAAUUAACAUAAUUAUUCCGCCUACCUCAUGGAGCUGGUUCAGGAGGAUUCAAUGAGGCAAUUCGUAGAAAUAGUUAAAGCUGUGCCUGACGCUUAGGAGGCAUGACUUACGAAGCAUAGAUGCUUUAGAGAGGUAAACGCUUACCUCCCGAAAGGACGAAAUCUGACUUCUUAUUUAAAUUGCUCAUCUGUCCAUUCAUUCAUUCAACACACAUUCACUAAGCCCAUAUUAUGAGCCAGCAGCGGGUGGCCACCAGGCAAACAAAUAUAAAUAAACUACCGCUCUUCGCCAGUAGGAGCUCAGACGUGUAAACAGAAAAUCUGCCGCGAUGAGGGAGGUGCUGGGAGAGCAUUUCUGCGGGAACACGGAUACAGGAACGUGCAGCCUCCUACCUCGCCCUGGAGGAGUCAGGAUGGCCGCCCCGAAGUGAGGUUCCACAGAAGGUGAAGAGGGAAAGGGCAUUCCAAUGGAGGACACAGCAUGUUUAAGCAAAGACCCGAAUGGAGGAAGAGCAGAUCCCCUGUGGAGGAUACAGAACAUGCUAAUAGAAGCCAGAUCUUUUUGGUUAGUUUUGAUUGAGCUUCAUGGAGUUAUCACUCUGACAGUGGUAUUUUCAUUAAGAGGAGAAUGGUUUACUGUCCAAACUGGAAAUGGUGUCUUCUUGUAUGGGAUUGCAGCUGGAAUAAAUGGAGUGAAGACGAACAGAAAAGCAGGCACCUGGCUCUUCUUCCUUAUUCUACACUUCUGAGUGAGUUCUGGUCCCUCCCAGCCUCAAUUUCCCCAUUGCUAUGGGAACUGAAAUCAAUCCUACGGCCCACACUGUCUCUUGCAAAUGAGCUGGAUGAGUGUUCACCACCCUGAGCCCUCCAAUAUCCAGCACUGUAAAUUUCAGUUGUAAUUGCCGGUAUUACUCAGAAAAGGAAAAGAAAUAUUUCCAGUUCUGGGAAGAGCAGGGCUAACAGCUGUAGCUGAACACGAGACGAGGGAGGAUGACAAACCACAGACGUGCCCAGCUCUUGGGUGCUCCGAAGGGAACCUGGGCAGAAAAUGGCGGCCCCCGUCAGGUAACUUUCAGCGUCACACGAAGAGAUGUGACCUUGAUAACCACGCCAGCUGAGUUCCUGAAUAAUAAUAUUUUAAGCAAUACGGAACAUAAGACAAAUAGACUCACUUAGCAUCUGGGGAGCCAAUGGCACCCAGGCUUGCCCAAACUGGCCUUUCUCAUUGCAGGGUGUGGGAGAACACAGGGCUUUGUGGGUCCCUGGGGGCCUGCCAGGCCCAGAGCUGUUGCUCAGCUGUGGGAAGCACUCCAGUUCUCAGGUCUGCUAAUGAGUGGUGUGGUGUCUGGCAAGGGCCUGGCCUGUGAGCGAGUGUGACUAAUCAUGAAUCUUUUCAAUAACGCUGACAGUUCAUUCUCUGCUCUCUCCUUCGGCUGCUCUCUGUGCUGGAGCUGGCUGAAAGAGGAGCAAAUUAGCCUCAUUCUGGAAAAGGCAGGGCAUGAUAAAGGACCCCCUCAAAGGUCUCCAGUGCUCCGUGCCUGGAUGUUUUGCAGCCGGUGUAAUUAUCUGACUUGGGUGGCUCGACGGUAUUUUUGAUGUUGUUGUUCCCUCUCCUCAAUAGCAGGCAGUGUCUGAAGACAGUGCCCGGUUACUGUUCUGGGAGCUAUUUAACAAAUAUAGGUUUGACACCAGCAAAGACAGUGUCAUGAUUAUCCUGCAUAUGCUCCAGCCCAAGCUGACGACCCUCCCAUUUCCUGUCCAAAGGGUACAUUUUGUUGAAUUAUGCUUCUGUCCCCACACGGAAAUGUGGUAGACCUUAAGCGCCCCGGACUCCUUAAUUGGGGGUGGGAGCCAAAGAGGGGAUGAAGCUUUCCCUCCGAUUCCUCUGUCUCCCCGCCACCCACUUUGCUGCUUGAUAAGUUCACUGUGCUUCUAACACCACAGCCAAACUGCGUGUUCUGUCACGGGGAAGGGGUGUGUGUGUGUGUGUGUGUGUGCGCGCGUGCGUAUCUCAGGAAAGUUAGUAAUGCCAUCUGUUGGUUAGUGGACUGGAAGAAUUUCAAGCUGGAAGGCAAGCUUUGCUGAUGUUGGACCAAAACACUUAGAAAAGAGUGGUAAUUGUCCAGUGGAUGUGGUACUUUCAUCAUGGACUGGGCUUCUGAGAAUAACUCAUAUAUAAUUUUUUUUUAGAGAGGGAGAGAGAAGGAAAGGGGCAGAGGGAAAGAGAGAGAACCUUAAGCAAGCUCCUCGCUCAGCGCAGAGCCUGACGUGGGGCUUGAUCCCACAACCCUGGGAUCAUGACCUGAGCCGAAAUUAAGAGUCAGGCGCUCAACCAGCCGAGCCACCGAGGGGCUCCUCGACUAUAAUUUCUUAAUAACAGAGCCAAAACAUUUGCACGUCGAGAGACAUGAGCAAGUGAAAGGGGAGGGGAAGUGUAUCCAGCGCUGGGAAACUGAGGCCGUGUGUACCAUUCUUCAUUCCCGAAGAUAAACGCAUCGUCUGGCACUUUCCACCCUCUAGCAUGUAGGCCUGUUUCUUCUCCCUUUCUGAGCCUGGUGGGAUCACUAUGCACUCUUAAGGAGGUCCAAAAGGCUAACUAGAGACACUCAAGCUGUAUUUUCCAAAUCGAAAAUUGAGACGUGUCAGAAUUAUUCUCAGGAAUGAUAAGUGAAAGUAUUUAAAAUUAAGAGUUUUCUUUGAACAUUGUGACCACAGAAUUCUCUUUCAAUUUCUGAAUGCCGUGUGUGUGUAAGGUGCCGUGGGUUAUGGUUCCAGGUAGGGGUUGUAAGUGGUGACCACAGGUCAGAUUUCUCUUCAGCCAUGCAGUGUCUCAAAAACUGGGGAACUUCUCAUGAGCAUCCAAAUUUCUAACUUCUUUUUAAAAAUCGUCAAAUCUGGCAACACUGACUUCAUAGACCCGCAUGAAACUAAAUGGUUGCUGCCUUUUUACAGAAUACUUUGUCACACUCCUCACUACUCUCUGUUGCUUCACAUUUAACCUCCUUUUCCUACCUAUAUGAUCUACCUGCCUCUCCAGGCAUUUAAAUCUGUGCUUGCUGAUUCAGUCACACAUACCAGUGGUUAAGGCUCCUGUCUGUGCACCAUCACAGAAAGGAUAGAGUUUCUUGACUCCUGUCAACUCACGUCCCACCUCAGAGGGCUGGCCCUCAGCACAGCGUUGGUCAAAACGUGACAUUCCCUGAGACAUUGGGAACUCCAAUGUUUAUCAUAUGUUCCAGCUUUGCUUCUUUUAUCGGAGAAGAUCCCCAAAGAGGGAGUCAUCAACAGAUGAUUUUGGUCAUUCCUCGAUGAUAUAAAAUGUAAGACACAAACAUCUCAUAUGCCUUGUUUGUUCUACUGUUCAUGCAGCCAGUUUUGUAACCACAAGAAUCUUUUUAAGAAGAAUAGAUGGCUGGGUCUGGGGGUAGGACUGGGGGGUAGGAAAUUGUUGGGCUUCCAGAUAAUACACUGGUUAAUUAUGGGACCUCUUAUAGUGUUUUGAGCUGGUUCAGUAGGAGAGAAACAGGGAUGAGUAUGCCCAAGUUUAGAAUUUAGAAUGGUGUAAGUUCAUUCCAAAGUGUGUAUGUGAGUAUAUAUGUGAACGUGUGUGUGUGAUCAUCUUUUUUUUUAAGUUUAUUUAUUUAUUUUGAGGGAGAGGAAGAGAGAGCAUGAGCAGGGAGGGACAGAGAGAGAGGGAGAGAGAGAGAAUCCCAAGCAGGCUCUGAGCUGUCAAUGUGGAGCUCGACAUGGGGCUCAAUCCCAUGACCGUGAGACCAUGACCUCAGCUGAAAUCAAGAGUCAGAUGUUCAAACAACUGAGCCACCCAGGUGCCCCUCAUCAUAGAUAAUUCUUUAAUCUUCUAUUUUCUUGAGAACAAUAUUAUGAACUGCAUCAUUUCAUGUAAAAACAUAACUCACAGAUACAACAUGUCUUUAACAAAAUUCUACUAGAAAGUGAGAAAGGUAUUGACAUGUAUCCAGGAGACAAAUCAGCGUUUGUGAAAAUCAUGGUGUCAUUUAUAAUACUUGCCAACUAGUGGUAGGCCAGUGGGGGGGUACCCAUUCAUUCAUUCCCUCAUCAGCAGAUAUUACUAAACACCCACUCUAGAUUGAACCACAUAAACCUUCUAACAUUUGAGCUUUUAAUCUAUGAAAAUAGGUAUCUCACAUGGUUUCACAUGCACCAUGCUAAGUACUAUGUUAGGUAUGGGGAUACAAGAAUAAGAAACGAAGAAUGGAUUCGUAAACAGCAGUGCAAUGAAGGGUCACAAGUGCUGUAAUGGGAACGUGUAGAAAAGCCUGUGAGGACCCAGGGAAGGCGGAAGUCGGAGUGGGAAAGUCUAUUGUGGUGAACACGGUAAUCUUCUCAGUAGAUGAUGCAAUCUUCUGUUUAAAAUUAUUAGUGGUAUUAGCUAAUUUAAACGGAGGAUUUCUAUUACAGCCCCAUGUUAAGAAUUUUAUUUUUAUCUCAUGUUAUCCUCACAGACCCCUAUGGAGUAGGAGUCAUCAUAAUUCCCAUAUUUCAGAAGAGGAAACAGAAGAGUAGAGAGUUUAAGGACUAUACUCAGAUUACACAGCUGGUGAGUGCUGGAGCUGGGAUUCACCCUGUGACUGUGUAGA